rnacentral:lncRNA from 1 species
UUAGAGUCACUCAGUAUUUCUACGAGUUAGUGUAGUGGGCGCAUUCUAUCUUUCUUCUCUUUCCUCUGGAGAUUGAGAGUCUAUAGUUUGGAACCUUCUCUUAAUAUUGAGAGUGCUGUGUUCUCUAGGCCUAAAUCGCUGCCACUUCAGCACUUUCCCCUUCUCGGAUUUCCUAAGAUCCUUCUUUUGAGCGCUAGCGUUCUAAAUGCAUAUGCUAC